rnacentral:rRNA from 1 species
UGGGGAAUUUUGGACAAUGGGCGCAAGCCUGAUGCAGCCAUGCCGCGUGUGUGAAGAAGGCCUUCGGGUUGUAAAGCACUUUCAGCGAGGAGGAAGGUGGUGAACUUAAUACGUUCAUCAAUUGACGUUACUCGCAGAAGAAGCACCGGCUAACUCCGUGCCAGCAGCCGCGGUAAUACGGAGAGUGCAAGCGUUAAUCGGAAUUACUGGGCGUAAAGCGCACGCAGGCGGUUUGUUAAGUCAGAUGUGAAAUCCCCGGGCUCAACCUGGGAACUGCAUUUGAAACUGGCAAGCUAGAGUCUCGUAGAGGGGGGUAGAAUUCCAGGUGUAGCGGUGAAAUGCGUAGAGAUCUGGAGGAAUACCGGUGGCGAAGGCGGCCCCCUGGACGAAGACUGACGCUCAGGUGCGAAAGCGUGGGGAGCAAACAGGAUUAGAUACCCCUGGUAGGUCCACGCUGUAAAACGAUGUCGAUUUUGGAGGUUGUGCCCUUGAGGCGUGGNUUCCGGAGCUAACGNGUUAAAUCGACCGCCUGGGGAGUACGGCC